rnacentral:misc_RNA from 1 species
GGACUACACGGGUUUCUAAUCCCUUUCGCUCCCCUGGCUUUCGUCCAUGAGCGUCAGUGAUGGCCCAGCAGAGCGCCUUCGCCACUGGUGUUCUUCCCGAUAUCUACGCAUUUCACCGCUACACCGGGAAUUCCCUCUGCCCCUACCACACUCAAGCCCAACAGUUUCCACUGCCAUGAUGGAGUUAAGCUCCACUUUUUAACAGCAGACUUGAAGGGCCGCCUGCGGACGCUUUACGCCCAAUAAUUCCGGAUAACGCUUGCCACUCCCGUAUUACCGCGGCUGCUGGCACGGAAUUAGCCGUGGCUUAUUCAUCAAGUACCGUCAGAUCUUCUUCCUUGAUAAAAGAGGUUUACAGCCCAGAGGCCUUCAUCCCUCACGCGGCGUUGCUCCGUCAGGC